rnacentral:rRNA from 1 species
AGAUUUAUCCUGGCUCAGGACGAACGCUGGCGGCGUGCUUAACACAUGCAAGUCGAACGAUGAAGCCCAGCUUGCUGGGUGGAUUAGUGGCGAACGGGUGAGUAACACGUGAGUAACCUGCCCUUGACUCUGGGAUAAGCACUGGAAACGGUGUCUAAUACCGGAUAUUUCAGCUGGCCGCAUGGUCUGGUUGUGGAAAGAAUUUUGGUCAAGGAUGGACUCGCGGCCUAUCAGGUUGUUGGUGAGGUAAUGGCUCACCAAGCCUACGACGGGUAGCCGGCCUGAGAGGGUGACCGGCCACACUGGGACUGAGACACGGCCCAGACUCCUACGGGAGGCAGCAGUGGGGAAUAUUGCACAAUGGGCGAAAGCCUGAUGCAGCAACGCCGCGUGAGGGACGACGGCCUUCGGGUUGUAAACCUCUUUUAGUAGGGAAGAAGCGAAAGUGACGGUACCUGCAGAAAAAGCACCGGCUAACUACGUCCACAGCCCCGGUA